AGGUAAUAUCCUUAGAUAAUGAGAUUUCCUUCAAUUAGGCUAUCAUCGAGGAAAGAGAACAAGGUAUUCAAGAAGUCCAGCAGCAGAUUGGGGAAGUAAAUGAGAUCUUCAAAGAUCUUGCCGUGCUUGUUCAUGAGCAAGGAGCAAUGAUUGAUGAUAUUGGAUCCAACAUUGAGCAUUCCCAUGAAGCCACUGCCCAAGCAAAAUCAGAACUUGUGAAAGCUUCUAAGACACAACGAUCAAGUUCAUCUUUGGCUAUCAAAACUCUCCGGCGGUGUUGCUGUUUUCAAAGUUUGUCAUUCAUUCUUAAAAACCGGCGGUGUUGCUGUUUACAAUAGCUGCAAAUGCUGGUUUUGAUGGUUCUUUAAUUUACAGCAAAUUGUUGGAACAAGAUAAUCUUAAUUUGGGUUUCGAUGCUGCUAAAGGAACUUAUGUUGAUAUGGUGAAGG